GCUUGUCAUCAUUCUCUUCUCACUCCUCAGUCCUCUUCAUCAUCUCCACUCAAAAACCAUUAACAGCGCUGGAGUGAUUCCACCGGUGACGCCCGAUAUCAGUCCCCGCUGAACCUCAUCAUCUCCUUAGUCCUCCUCACUACUGCCGUUUGGGGGCGACGAUGACAUGGUCACCGGAAUUCAUCACCAGUGAAGACCCCGAUGAAGGUCCCCAAGUCGCCGUAUAAGGUUUUGGAUUUGCAAGAUGAUUUCAGGUUGGGUAUUAGCUUUAUUGAUUAGCUACUGUGCUGGUUUCGAGUUUGUUGAGAAAUUGUUUCUGUGAUUGGUUAUUUAGCUUAUGAAUUUUGUGGUCUGUUUGAUUCUUUAGGUUUUGGAUGCCCCGGCCUUGCAAGACAUGUAUGAUAAUACACUUUUUUGUUUAAUUGAUUAGUUGUUUUAUUGUUAUAACUAACUAGUCUAUUGACAUCUUGUUUUGCAAAAUCUGUUUGGGACAGAUAAGUUAUUUUGUGAUUGCAGAUGCUCUCUAUGAAUGAGCUUCACUCUGUACAAAGUAGAUUUUCUUAUCAUUGAGUAGAAAUAUUUCUUAUUUUGUGACUGCAGAUGCACAAAAAUUAUGUUGGCCUUAUUUAUAGGUCUGUACUUGAUUCUAUUGUCAUCUGUUAUCAGUUUAAUAGCUCAAUUACAAAAGUGUUAAACUUUGGUACAGCAAGAAAUUCUUGAUUCUUUGUUGUGUAAAUGAUUUCUUC
rnacentral:lncRNA from 1 species